rnacentral:rRNA from 1 species
GCUAAAAACUUAGCCUUANCCCUACAAUUAUAUUUACCCUAUUUUACUUACACAAAAUAAAACAUUCUUUAAGCUUAGUAAAGGAGAUAAAAAAGUUUUUUAGAGCUAUAAAAUUAGUACCGCAAGGGAAAAAUGAAAUAAAAAUGAAACAAAAUUCAAGCAUAAUAUAGUAGAGUUUUCCCCUCGUACCUUUUGCAUCAUGAUUCAACUAGUUUAACCACGCAAAAAGAAUUUAAGUUUGACUUCCCGAAACUAAGUGAGCUACUUCAGGGCAGCUAAAUGAGCCAACCCGUCUCUGUUGCAAAAGAGUGGGAUGACCCUUAAGUAGAGGUGAUAAACCUAACGAACUUAGUGAUAGCUGGUUAUUCAGAAAAAGAAUUUUAGUUCAACUUAAAAUUACAUAAAUAAAAUAAAAUAAAAUUUUAAUUUUAAAGCAAUUCAAAUAAGGUACAGCCUAUUUGAAAUAGAAUACAAUCUAAACUAUAGGGUAAAUAUAAAAAAUUAAUGUAAUAAAGUAGGCCUAAAAGCAGCCAACUUUAAAAUAGCGUCAAAGCUUACUUCCAUAAUUUUUUAAUACUAUUAUUUACAAUGAACCCUUUAUUUUUACUGAAUAUUUCUAUAAAGUUAUAGAACCUUUUAUGUUGAAACUAGUAACAAGAAGUUAAACUUCUCCUCAAUAUAAGUAUAAGUCGACUAGGAUAAACCAUCGACAAUUAACGCUUAAAUUAAAUGUAUUAACUCCACAAGAAAAACUUACAUUACCCCACGUUAAUCUUACACCAGAACAUUUAAGGAAAGAUNNAAAAAA